rnacentral:lncRNA from 1 species
GCCCACUUAAGCAUUACUCAAAGAAUUUUGUUCUCAAACAAACUACCCUCAAUUAGAUACUUGAAAGUAGAAAGUAGGUCCAUAUCUUGGGUUUAAAAGCCUUAGAACAGGCGUUAAAGUGGAAUUCAGGAAAAAAAGAAAAAAGAAAAAAGAAAAAUUGAUAAUGAAAAUAAAGUCUAACAUUGUACAAGGCAUUUUUCAUGUGAUAAGGAAUUGGUGUAACAAUCUUACAAACGGAGGUCCUGCCUCAACAAGGUAGAAUAUGUAUAUAAAUUUAACAAAUGAACCACUCUUAAACUACUGAACAUUCAAUCAUUUUUUUUUCACAUAAAAAUUUGAUCAAGAUGUAUACUUCUAUAACAUUAAGGAGUGUAUUAUAACAUAGUUGGAGACUCCAGGUUCACCCCAAACUAUAUCACAAAUUCAGUGACAGGCUACAGAAUAGGACAACAUAUAAAACUGGUUCUAGGACAAACAAAAUAUUAAAG